AUGCUGAGUGGGUGGAGGAAAAAAAUAUGCAUGUAUAUAAUGAGAUAAUAAAAAGUGACCACAGUAAAUGAGAGAGAACAGAGCAGAUCAUUUAACACCUCCUGAGAACAUGAAGAGCAGCUCUGUGGCUUUUUGCUUGGGCCUUGUCAUCAACAUGGCACUUUCCUCUAGUGCAAUCCCUAGAAGCUUUGAUAACGGAUCGUGCUGUUACAAGUUCUACACUGGCAAAAUUGAUUCUAAAGGAAUCCUGAAGGUGAUGAAGACAGACUCACGCUGUUCAAAGCAAGGCUUCAUUGUUAAGAGGCCUAAGAGCUAUGUGUGUGUCCUGAAAAACCCCCUAAUAAUAAAUUAAAUCUACUAAAAUCGAAUCGGACAAACUUUAUUAAUGGAACAAACUGUUGAUGCAUAAUGUAUAAAAAUGCAAUAAUGAAGUGAAAAAAAUCUCAUGCUUUUAUAACAUGAAACUGUAUUAAUUAAUGACUAAUUAAUUUAUUUUAAAUAGCACUGUGUAACCCUGUAUAACAACACACACACAUACAAACAUACAAAGCUAUCUGCUAAUAAAGAUUUUAAUACUUUUUAA